GUGUUCACUUAGGCAGCACAUAUGCUAAAACUGGAAUGAUACAGAGAAAAUUAGCAUAACCCCUGUGAAAUUGACAUGUGAAUUUGUGAAGCAUUCCAUAUUAAA